UACGAAGGGGGCUAGCGUUGCUCGGAAUCACUGGGCGUAAAGCGCACGUAGGCGGCUUCUUAAGUCAGGGGUGAAAUCCUGGAGCUCAACUCCAGAACUGCCUUUGAUACUGGGAAGCUUGAGUUCGGGAGAGGUGAGUGGAACUGCGAGUGUAGAGGUGAAAUUCGUAGAUAUUCGCAAGAACACCAGUGGCGAAGGCGGCUUACUGGUCCGGUUCUGACGCUGAGGCGCGAAAGCGUGGGGAGCAAACAGG
rnacentral:rRNA from 1 species